rnacentral:tRNA from 1 species
AUUUAAAUAGUUUAUUUAAAACAUUACAUUUUCAUUGUAAAAAUAUAACAAAUUUUUAUUUUAAAUA